rnacentral:lncRNA from 1 species
AAGUUCCCAUGCCUUACGAAAGUUUUCUUAAUAUAUAAGAAGCACGGAUAAGUUUGCUUGCAUUGAGACUUCAAUGGCUGCAAAUUUCAGUCCAGAUCUCAAUUGCAAUGGCUUCGGACCAUGAGAAGCAUUUGUGACUGUAAGCAAUGGAGACCUUCGCAGCUUCUACAUUGGCAUUUUAGGUACAUUUGUGGAUAAAUAUUAUGGAUCUUCUGUUAAUUUUGAUUGGUUGUUCCUCUUUCUUUCAAUUUGUUAUUGCAAGGAGGCCUCCCUUCUUUGUGCAGCAUAGCUAAUGGCGGGAAGUUCAAGUUAGCCUCUUUUGAGAGACCAUGUUAACCCUCUCUUAUUUAGAGAGAAUAAGAAGUUUGAAGUUGAACAAAAAGAGAUUAAAGCUCCUUUAAUAUAUACUGUGGAGUAAAAAGGGUAUUUAAUGCCCACUUUUAUUUAACUUUUUACUUUAAGUUGAUUUCAAGUCUUGGAAAUAGUGCAUGUUGUAAUAUUGUCUAGACUGUCAAUUUUCUAGUGCUCAUAGAUUUGUUAGAUUUAAACUAUUUUUGAAUUUUUGAAUUUUAUGAUUAGAGACGAAAAUACGUUUUCAAGCCAUCACAAAGAUUUAUGAUACUGAAACAAUAUGUUUUGGCACUAUUUGAAGGUGCACUUCCCCUGGAUUGAUUAGGUCCUCGGACUUGUACAAACCACACCAUGCAUUUGUUGGUUAUUAUGACCUGCUUAUAACAAAGUAGGUAGUCUUAUUGUAUAUUCUUUGCCUUUAUUAACACUCAUGUCUACUCCUAACUCAACUUCAUAUCUAAUUUGUGUCCCUACUUUGUCUUUUUUCUGAUUCGAGAGAGAACCAUGUCAGAUGAAGAACAAGACUCCUUUGCUUUGAAGUAUACCGGUGUAAGUUCAAUCUUUUGAUUUAUUUUCUCCAUGAAAAUUCAAAACCAUUAUUGCGGUCUCUUAUAGAAGUUCUCAAAAAAUUAUUUGAAGCUCCAAAACAUUCUUGACCUCAACCUUUACAUCAAAUAAAAUUUAGGCCAUCCAUUUGAAAGGUUGAUAGGUCAGAUGGUUCGAGGUUUUCUUGAGCUUCAUAUCUAAUGAAAUUUGGAGCAGAUUGAUUUUUGAGAGGGUUCCCAUGUACCUCAAAAGUGGGUAUUGAUGUUUAGAAAAAGCACCAGAUCUAGUGUUCAUGAGGAAACUGUUAUUUACGUGCGGAAAAAGUUUAUUUAAAGCAUCAACCAUAGUAUAGAUAUAAGCUGCACCUCAAAACCCCAUUGGAAAAGUUGUUUCGGUGCUAGAAAGACCUUAAAUUGAUCAUCUAUAUGUCUCAAUAUAAAAAGCGAUUGCGAGUCUAUAAAAUAGUACAUGUUAUCUAUACUGUUUAUUUUCAAGUAUUUAUAGAUU